GAUAAACAUUAAUGGUUGCAAUAGGAAGAGGGUACUCUGUGAUGGCUCUGACUCUCCAACAGAGACCAAGCAUCAAAGGAUACUUCUCCACUGACCACUCCAACAACUGAGUGAAGAAUUUACACAAUUAUUAAAUAUAUAUUCAUAAAUCAUUUUAGUACCCCUGAAAAUUAGUGAGGAAUGGAAUUUGCAAUGGUAUUGG
rnacentral:misc_RNA from 1 species